rnacentral:rRNA from 1 species
CCCGCUGAACUUAAGCAUAUCAAUAAGCGGAGGAAAAGAAACUAACAAGGAUUCCCCUAGUAACGGCGAGUGAAGCGGGAAGAGCUCAAAUUUAAAAUCUGGCAGGUUACCUGUCCGAAUUGUAGUUUAGAGAAGGCGUUUUCGCUGGGUCCGCAGGUACAAGUCCCUUGGAAUGGGGCAUCACAGAGGGUGAGAAUCCCGUGAGCGAUCUGGAGCGACCUGGUAUGUGAUACACCUUCGAAGAGUCGGGUUGUUUGGGAUUGCAGCCCUAAAUGGGUGGUAAAUUUCAUCUAAGGCUAAAUAUUGGCGAGAGACCGAUAGCGAACAAGUACCGUGAGGGAAAGAUGAAAAGAACUUUGAAAAGAGAGUGAAACAGUACGUGAAAUUGUUGAAAGGGAAGCAUUUGGAAUCAGCAUUGCAGGCAGGAAAUCAGCCGUGUCUUUUGCAUGGUGUACUUUCCUGUUAGCAGGUCAGCGUCGGUUUUGUCUGAUGGACAAAUGGCUUGGGAAGGUAGCUUCGUCUGUAAAGAUGAAGUGUUAUAGACCUUGCUUUUACAUUGGAGAAGAUUGAGGACUGCAGCCAAGUUUGGGGGAGUGUGUUGCUGAGCAGAUCGUGUUUGUGGACAGCUUGCUGACCGUAGGUAACGAUUCUGUUCAACCGGCAUGCUUCUCUCCUAUUGGCUUAGGUCGCUGACGUAAUGAUUUCAAAUGACCCGUCUUGAAACACGG